GCUUUGAGAGCUUGCAGCGGUCUAUUUUGUAAGUAGAAAGAGGUAGGUUUAAGUCCUGCUCAAAGCU
rnacentral:tRNA from 1 species